GAUGAACGCUAGCUACAGGCUUAACACAUGCAAGUCGAGGGGAAACGAUAUUGGAAGCUUGCUUCCGAUAGGCGUCGACCGGCGCACGGGUGAGUAACGCGUAUCCAACCUGCCCAUCACUUGGGGAUAACCUUGCGAAAGUAAGACUAAUACCCAAUGACGUCUCUAGAAGACAUCUGAAAGAGAUUAAAGAUUUAUCGGUGAUGGAUGGGGAUGCGUCUGAUUAGCUUGUUGGCGGGGUAACGGCCCACCAAGGCGACGAUCAGUAGGGGUUCUGAGAGGAAGUUCCCCCACAUUGGAGCUGAGACACGGUCCAAACUCCUACGGGAGGCAGCAGUGAGGAAUAUUGGUCAAUGGGCGAGAGCCUGAACCAGCCAAGUAGCGUGCAGGAUGACGGCCCUAUGGGUUGUAAACUGCUUUUAUAAGGGAAUAAAGUGAGCCACGUGUGGCUUUUUGCAUGUACCUUAUGAAUAAGGACCGGCUAAUUCCGUGCCAGCCGCCGCCGUAA
rnacentral:rRNA from 1 species